rnacentral:rRNA from 1 species
CCUACGGGUGGCUGCAGUGGGGAAUAUUGGACAAUGGGGGGAACCCUGAUCCAGCCAUGCCGCGUGUGUGAAGAAGGCCCUCGGGUUGUAAAGCACUUUCAGUGAGGAAGAACGCCUGGUGGUUAAUACCCAUCAGGAAAGACAUCACUCACAGAAGAAGCACCGGCUAACUCCGUGCCAGCAGCCGCGGUAAUACGGAGGGUGCGAGCGUUAAUCGGAAUUACUGGGCGUAAAGCGCGCGUAGGUGGCUUGAUAAGCCGGUUGUGAAAGCCCCGGGUUCAACCUGGGAACGGCAUCCGGAACUGUCAAGCUAGAGUGCAGGAGAGGAAGGUAGAAUUCCCGGUGUAGCGGUGAAAUGCGUAGAGAUCGGGAGGAAUACCAGUGGCGAAGGCGGCCUUCUGGACUGACACUGACACUGAGGUGCGAAAGCGUGGGUAGCAAACAGGAUUAGAUACCCCUGUAGUC